ensembl:lncRNA
UAAUAAAAGUUGUUACUUUUAAUAACAGAAAUCUUGAUUUUCAGACAAAAGAAGAAAAGUACAGAAAUAAUAUUAAUACAAAUAAAUUACAGAAACACAUGAGAUGCAUCGCACUUCUCACAAAUAAGCAGCCAGACACUGAGAUCACGUAACGACCAAAUUUACACACCUGAGGCACACAAGAGGGGUCGGUUUUCAUGCCACAUUUACACCAAUAUACAGAACGUUAAUACACUGAAAGUACCAAACAAUACCACCCACCAUUCAGCAGAGAGGAAGGGACACAGUGGGCUGAAAGAUCGGCAAAUAAACCCGUGCAAUGACAUUAUUUCUCUCGUGUACAUGCGCCACGUUAAAAGUGGACGCCAGUUAGCUUGCAGUAUUAGCUGUAUUCAAUGGCAAGUCUCUGUGGCUGCAUAUUAAUUCAGUGUUAGGCUAUUUAUCGCUUCAACACACCCAGAGUGGAUCCUGACAGCUCUACCAUGUCAUGAUCCAAAACACAAAACUGGAGCAGAGUAUUGCCUUUUCUCCAAAUGAUGUGACAUAUUCAACUGAAACCAUGUGAUGGGGAUAAAGCCAUGCAACUCUGUCUCACAAUGUUUAGUGAAAUGAGCACAAAUUCUAAGAACACUGUGAAAGUUUUUGAGCAGAACUGGUGCUGUGAUUGGACGAAAUACCAAAAACACACCUCUCUUCAAGCCUUAUUAUUUUUAUUGUGGGAAAUGAUCUCUGAACUGUUCCUCCAAAUCAAUAAACAGUAAUAUGGUAUUUCUGAACCCAAAGAAAACAACUGGCAUCGAUAUGGCAUGGGGGGGCUGUUUGUUUUCCCUGAAAUGAUGGUGCUCUAGUGACAUCCAGUGUUCCUGAAUGUUGCACACAGAACUAUGAAACUAAAUAUAUGUCCAUUAAGGGGACAUUAAGACUUAUAGAAGAAGGUGUUUGUAGAGUAGAGUAGUCCUUACAUGCAGCACACCUGGACUCUUGGAUGUUACAUGAAAUCCAGAUGCUGAUCAUCCUCGGUUUGACACCUCAGACACUAUAUUUGUAGUUUUUGGUGAAGGGAACUGUGCUCAUU